rnacentral:rRNA from 1 species
UACGUAGGUCCCGAGCGUUGUCCGGAUUUAUUGGGCGUAAAGCGAGCGCAGGUGGUUUAUUAAGUCUGGUGUAAAAGGCAGUGGCUCAACCAUUGUAUGCAUUGGAAACUGGUAGACUUGAGUGCAGGAGAGGAGAGUGGAAUUCCAUGUGUAGCGGUGAAAUCCGUAGAUAUCGGCAGGAACACCAGCGGCGAAGGCGGUUCUCUGGUUGACUUCUGACGCUCAUGCACGAAAGCGUGGGGAGCAAACAGG